rnacentral:lncRNA from 1 species
GUCUCUACGUCGAGGCAGAGGAUGGUGAUAAGGCCAAAGGUGUGUACUGGUUCAAGAACGAUCUUAAAUCAAAAUCUUCGUGAAGCAAUGAUCUGCAACUACUCCGUCACCAAGAAUUCAGUGUUAGAUGAAAAGUAUUCUUAGUACAAAAAUAAGUACGUAUGUAUAAUUUCACUUUGUGUUGUAUGGAAAAUGCAUGCACUGCUGAAUUUUUUUACCAUGAGUACCUCAGCUCUUCACAGUCUAGAUCUUUACUUGUACCUUAUCCAUGGAUAGUGCUUUACAUCUAAUACAUCUACGAGGACUAAACCAAACCUGCAGGCUGCAGCUUGCGAAGAAAUAAGUUAAUAAUGUUGGAAAUAAUGUAAUUAUUGGGCUGGCUGAAGUUAAAAUUGUUGCCGAUCUGUUUAUUGUUUACAAGUGAGAAGUUAUUCAUAAAUACAAAAUAAUAUAU